GAUAGGUCGGUGGUUGAGUGUCUGCCUUGCAAGCAGAAUGUCCUGAGUUAAAUUCCUGGCAUCUCCA